UGUCAAGAGUGUCAAGUGAACAGCGAAUCUAAUUUUGGAGAAAAUAAUUGUUUUAUCGACAGCCGUCGUCACCGCAGCCCCAAUCAAGGCGGCGGCGCAGCCAGAGCGGGCAAGAGCGGGCUCCGCGGGCUCUUCUUCCACGCUGAGAAGUCCUCGCCAAGUUGGCACGAACAGUCAAAGCUGCCGCUGCAAUGACGCCUUCAUGGCAGUUACCAGUGCUAAGGACGUGCACUGCUGGCUUACUUGACCAGAAGAGACAAUACUUUAAGUGUUAGUAAUGAUUCAAACCGUGAAGUGAAAUUGUGAACAGGUUUGCCCGAAUCAGUGUAACCUCAGUGAACUCAUUUACUUCAUAGACUUCAAACAUUUUCGAAAUUAACAAAAGUCAAGCGAACAUUGAAUACAUAGAUGUUAUGCAUUAGAUAAGAUAAAAGCUGCCUGUGAAACCAAAACCAAUAAAUCAUAUUAUUACUUAA